rnacentral:rRNA from 1 species
UACGGAGGGGGCUAGCGUUGUUCGGAAUUACUGGGCGUAAAGCGCACGUAGGCGGCUUCGCAAGUCAGAGGUGAAAGCCCGGGGCUCAACCCCGGAACUGCCUUUGAGACUGCGUCGCUCGAAUCCGGGAGAGGCGGGUGGAACUCCAUGUGUAGCGGUGAAAUUCGUAGAUAUUUGGAAGAACACCAGUGGCGAAGGCGGCCCGCUGGACUGCCAUUGACGCUGAGGUGCGAAAGCGUGGGGAGCAAACAGG